rnacentral:rRNA from 1 species
UACGAUAGGGUGCAAGGCGUUGUCCGGAAUUAUUGGGCGUAAAGAGCUCGUAAGGCGGUUUGUCGCGUCUGCUGUGAAAACUCGGGCUUACUCCGGGCCUGCAGUGGGUACGGGCAGACUAGAGUGCGGUAGGGGGAGAACUGGAAUUCCUGGUGUAGCGGUGAAAUGCGCAGAUAUCAGGAGGAACACCAAUGGCGAAGGCAGCUCGCUGGGACGGUACUGACGCUGAGACGCGAAAGCGUGGGGAGCAAACAGG